rnacentral:rRNA from 1 species
AGUGAACGCUGGCGGUAGGCCUAACACAUGCAAGUCGAACGAGUGGCGGACGGGUGAGUAAUACAUCGGAAUCUACCUUGUCGCGGGGGAUAACGUAGGGAAACUUACGCUAAUACCGCAUACGAUUGAAUGAGCCGAUGUCGGAUUAGCGAGUUGUCGGGGUAAAGGCUCACCAAGGCGACGAUCCGUAGCUGGUCUGAGAGGAUGAACAGCCACACUGGAACUGAGACACGGUCCAGACUCCUACGGGAGGCAGCAGUGGGGAAUAUUGGACAAUGGGCGGAAGGCUGAUCCAGCCAUGCCGCGUGUGUGAAGAAGGGCUUCGGAUUGUAAAGCACUUUAAGUUGGGAGGCGUUACCAGCAGAAUAAGCACCGGCUAACUUCGUGCCAGCAGCCGCGGUAAUUC